UUACGGCCAUAUCACGUUGAAACAUCGGUUCUUGUAUGAUCAUCGACGUUAAGAAACGUUGAGCCUAGUCAGUACGUAGAUGGGUGAACGAUUGGUAAUAUCAGGUGCUGUAA